UUCCAAGCACUUCAGUAUGCAAUGAAAAUACAGCUUUUAUCGUUCUGUUUUUAUAAGACAUGCAUUAUCUAUUUUUCCAGUGGACUCCUCAUCGUUAUGUAGCAAGGUAACUUUUGAAUUAUCUAACAUUUUCUUUUAAAGUCAAUGCAUGUGUGAUCUCUAACUGUGACAGAUUCAGUCAAUUCAUCAGUUAUGCUGGACUAGCUUUUCAAGACUAGAAAAUUAGCCAGUCUGCUGUUUACCUGAUAUGGUUAUGAACAGAAAGUAAAUUUCUCUCAGUAAGUACUGAUAUAAGGCUUAGUGAAAUCUGCUUUGAGAACCCAAUUAUAUAUCCUGGCAUUCUUGGAUCUGCACCAUACAAGAUUGAUCAGAUUAAUGAGUGGUAUGAAUCACAAAAUGUGCUAUGUACAUUAUAGGAUAAUGAUUUUUUUCAUUCCCUUUAUCUUAGCUAAUUGUUGUUCUACUGUGCUCCUUGUGGGAACAGCUUCCACUGCUUCCUAUAUUACAGGGAACUUCUGUGGACAGCAGGGGAGAGGUUUGUACAAAUCCUACCAAGAACUAAGAUGUGCAGCACAGAGGGCCCUGAGGCUUGUGUAAGAAAUCUUUGUGUUUCAGCUUGAUUCAUGAUUUUGAGAUACAUACUUGUUUAAAACCUCCUGGAGACUGACAACAUCAUGUCUUUAAUUAAGAGCUAUUGGGAAGAUUCAGAAAUUUGAAUAGAUAUUUAAAUUUCCUAUUAAGAGAUCACAUUAUUUUAUGCUAGAAAGAGUAUCUUCCAAAAUAAGAAACUUCUUGAUUUUUUCUUUGGCCUGUAAGUCAAAUGUUCAAGGCCAGAGGAGACUGAAUAGCAUUUUCUGAAGUCUAAAAUUGCAGCCUUGUUCUCAGGUUAAAUUAUAUAUAUAUAUAUAUAUAUAUAUACACAUAAGUUUUCUUGUUUUGUUUGGUAGGUUGUAAUAAACACAGGUAUGCAAAAUUCAAGUAUCUGCAUUUUUUGUUUUUUCAGCCUUGUCAAAAUGUAGGUUGCUGCUUUGGUUCAGCUCAACUCAAAUGAUUUCAGUUACAACUUCCUUUAAAUCAAAGGAACAUUUUUAGGAACUGAGAGGGAAGUGGCAUAAAGUAUAUUAAUUAUUUAAACUAUUUGUGGGUGUGUUCAUCCAGUCUCUUUAUUUAUUUAUUUAUUUUUUAUUUAUUUAUGAAAAGGAGUCAGCUUUUUCUUCUUCAUGAGAAAGAAACCAAGCCUUGCCAUUUGGUUUCUGUUUCAUUGUUGGGGGUGGGUGGGUUAUUGUUAGUCUGCACUAAUGUGCAAUAACUUUUUAUGGUGAUUAGUACUUAUUGAGAAAGGGCUGAGAGACAGCACUCUUAAAAUGUUUGUCGUCAGCUCUUUCCAGGAGAUUAUUUUGGCUGAGGUUAUCAGGUAUACCUGGCAGGGCCUGGGUAGCAACGCUGCAGGUGGCACAGCCUGCUCUGAAAUGAAGCCUUGAAGGUGGCAAGCCAAGGCAGAGACACCCUGGGACACUGCAAGUGACCUCAGGCAGGGCAAGAACACAAAGAAUCAUGGAGCAGUGGAUAAAAUACAGCAAGCAGGAUGAUGGAAAAGCAGAAAGAAACCAAUCCACACAGAGCUCUGACCUCCUGCACUACCACUCUCCUCCUUGGAGAGACUCAGAGAGCUUGAAUGUGGCCACAGAAAAACAGUGCUUGUGAGAAUAGGGAAGAGGGAGAUGAUUCUUUUGUAGGAUGCUGGACAUCAUGUGAUUUUGUCUGUGACAAUGGGUAAAGAACUUUUUAUUUUACUUCAGUUUACCUUGCUGAGACAUCCAUGUGACAUCCCUCUCAUUUUUUACCUCAUCUUGUUUCCUUAUAUAAAUCCUUAUUUGAAUCCAUAGGGCUCUAAGUCUUCCCUAGGUGUGUUUUUACAAAAGGUUUUUCUUUCUUCAAGUGAUGUACAUAAAAUAUCCAGUGUGCACUUUGAUUUGCUGCUUCCUAUGUGAUGAUGAAUGAUCAAACCAGCAUUUUUAUGAUUAAAAUUAUAAUACAAAAAAUGCAUUUAAUUGCAGUGACUUAUAAAUUUGAGAAUAUUUUGCCUGAAGAUGUUGUUUAUGUAGAAAGACACUGUUCAUAGGUUAAAGGUUUUAAAUGUACUUAAAGUAGCAAAUCUGACAGUAGAUAUCUAAAUUAGUUGAAUUUUCUUCUCACCCAGUUCUAAUAACUGAAUGGAUUAUGCUACUAAAAUGCAAAUAUUCCAGUUAAACUAGAAAUCUCACAAGCAUUUUGACAAUUCUGUUUUAUAAUGCUAUACUAUAACAGAUAAAGAAAGAUUGAACUGUUUGAAGUAUUGAGAAAUUCCAUAUUUUUAAUCUAGAAUUCCCCUCAUUUUGGAACUGUACAAGGGAAAAAGUUUUGCUUCUGUUAUUGUCAUUAGUAAUAGCAUUCUUAUAAUUUCUGUUUGCUCAUCUUUGUAUGGUUCUCCACUCCUUUUCUAUUUCAAUAAAAGGAGCGCACAAUAUCAUUUUACAGACUCUAUCUUGAGGAUUUGAUUUUAAUCAUUAUUGUAGCAGAUUCUGUUCUCGUUUGAACUUUUUAGCUGCACACUGCUUUUCAGAACUUCCUUUGCCAUUUGUUUCAAAUUACUUUUCUUUUCUAGCUGAUAAGCUUUGUUUGUGGUUGACUUUUAACACUUGAUUAUACCCUGAGCAAAGUCUGAACACUGCUUACUAAUUAAGGAGUCAGGCUGACAUGUUUCAUGAGGAGUAUAAGUACAUCUGACUUGCAUAAAAUAGCUAAUUGUUUCUGCCCUAAAAUUUAAUACUCAGGUGCUAUUCAUAUAAACUACACGUGGAAAGCCAUGCUGUUUUGAUGUCAGUGCCAAUGCUAUCUAAACAGCUAGAAGUAUCUUUUUGCUAGAGGUGCUUAUUUUAAAAGAAACCAUUACAGAUUAAGUAGAGCUGGCAGGAAAAGAUAGACACAGGGAAAACUGAGAUGGGAGGAUGUAACUUUAUUGGUUUCGUGGUAGAAAAAUAGCUGUGAGAAAAGCUCUAUGUUGAUAUACAUUUAGCCUACCUCUAUAUAACCAGCGCCUUGGGCAAGUUUACUUUCAGUCUAAAUUUUAGUGCCUUUUAUGGGGAAGGUCUUGUGAGCUUGUUCCCCUACCCCACUGUCAGGAGGGAGCAUUGCUGCCAGUAGGCAAGCCAAGCUGGGAGAGUGCUACCAGCCACAUCACCAAGACAAUUAACUCUCAGGGAUGACACAGCUCCACUGUGCUUCAGCCAACAGCUGCCAAGAGUUUGCAAUUUCUUGCUAGCAGAGAAGUUCCUGAUUUUACUUCUUUUAUCUACAUCUCAGCGGUAAAGUCAGGAAAAUUAACAUCCAUCCUUACUCAAACAUUCACUCUCAAAUAUCUGAAAUCAUUGGAGGGUGAGAGCUAUUUCUGGAGCAGAUCAUUAUCACUGGAUAUUUACCAUAUGAGUCUUUUAGACAUCCUUAUAAUUGCUAUAUCAGCAGGAUGAAUUGGUUUCAAAAUUGAAUGUGUUAGAGCAAGUAGUGAAACCUAAGCACAAGAGAGACAUGGCAUAAUCUCUUAGAUUACAGCACAGACAUAUGAGUUGGAGUGUUCCUGAGGUCUGCUAAACUAGCCGUGCUUGUCAAAGCACCUAAUUCUGAUUGAGGAUAUGAGUAGCUUGAGUAGAAAUGUUUACCUUAAUAUUAGUUCAGGACAUACAAAAUUUGCCUUGGUGCUGUUACGGUCAGUGGUGGAACAGAUGACAUCCCCUUAGGAAGAACACUAAGUGUUCUUACUUAAGUAAGACAUGUCCGUAUAAUCUAGGCUAAAAUAAAGAUGUACAAAACUAUUGUCUUUUAAAUACACUCCAUGUAGCUUUCAUGAACAAAUUCUCUCUUUUCCCUUUAUUUCUCUGGUUCCUGAUGUUUAAAUGAUCUGGCAAGCAUGAUUUCACUAGCAGUGCCUUUUAUCCUCAAACACAGCCAUGCAUCCCAGCUCAUUUGACAGUAAUUUUCUUUUUCAGGAGUUUAAUUCCAAUCCACAAUCAACAAACUGUAUAUUGUAUUCUCAUGGUUGUUAAGAAUGCUCCAAUUUUUCCUCAUAAUCUUUCUUUUAUCAGUUAAAACUGAGUACUACAGGAUUGUUCUUCACAGACUAUUAUUUCUGGUACUAGAAUCCUUCCAGCUAGUUACUACAUAUAGUACAGAUCAAUUUUUCUAGACCUGAAGAAGAAGUUACUACUGUAUGUUUCCUUACUAGAGAAGGCAAUCAUCAUCAUGUAGCAGGUAUGUGCUAGACUUUCUUAAGAUAUAAAACCAGCAUAAUUUAAAGUCUGUUCAUAAGGAAAUAGGAACUUCUCAGGGCACUCAACCUGCUCCUGUGCCCUCUCUGACUUUUGACAGAGCUUCUGUAGUCUUCAGGGGGUAAUUUGCAGCAAGGAACCAUUCAUUCACAAAUAUUAAAAUCCAGUUCAUUUUAAUUACAGGAGCUUUCUGUUCAUCUUCAACGUUUUCUUUUAAUUUUAUGGGGUUUUUUAAGGGUCACCUCCUUGGCCUGUUAUUGAUAACCAGCUGGGUACUUUUUCUUGUCAUGCAAAUUUUUUAUGUAGAAAACUGUGAAGCUCACUGUUGUGAUGAACAUACCUAAGCCUGACAAAAGUUAAGAUAGUAAAAGGUUAAAGGGGCAUAAAAUAUAUUUUUUCCCCAAUAAAACCCCUCAAUUUUAAUUCUUCCCCUGGAGAAGUAAGCUUGCACCAACCCUCAUAAUCAAGUCCAGAUUCAUUAGACAUUUUCAAUAAAUGUUUUCUGUGGGAUCCUUUGCAUACCAAUGGUUGCUGUGACAACCAUAGUUUGCCCAUUCAGGUUAUUUUCCCAAAGCACAUUAAAAAAAUUAUCUUUUGCCUCCAAAAUUCCACAAUAUGUUCCGCUCUGAAAGCUGGUAUAUCUCCUUAAUUUUAGACUAUUUUAUUUCUCUUUACUCUGUUUUUCCUCUAAUAUCCUACCAACCUGCCAGACAUGCCAGGUCUAACACAUAUUCAAUGCAGUUCUACAGCUCUCUCUUUUAUAGUCAAUUCACCACAGGUAGCCUUGCUAAAAAAGUUUCCUUUCCUAAUUUUGGAUGUCAUUAAAUUUGCCAGUUCCAGUAGAGCAGAAACACCCUAACUACCUGGAAAACAUGCUUGCUUCUUUGUUCCAUUAUUUCUUUACAAAGAAGUGGAAUUCAAUUUGCUUAUUUCUGCCUCUGAAAUUUAUAAAAUAUUUCAGUAUCAGUUGAAUUGUCUCCUAAUAGGUCUGGUAUUUGAUGCUUAAAUUGAUUUGAUAGUUUUCAUUUAAACACGAGAAUAGUGCCACUGUAUCAUAAUAGGCAGCUUUCCAGAAAAGUUUAAGUUUUGGCAUAUUUCUCUGAAUUGUUUUUCACAUUUCAAAUAUGCUUAAAUAAGACAUGUCACGCUAAAAUAAAUGUGUACAAAACUAUUUUAUUUUAAAUAUAGGGUAUGUAGCUUUCAUGAACAAAGCCUCUAAUAAAAUAUGAAAUGUCAAUACCCACUUUUCCACUCUGCUGAACCUAAAAAUAUUGACAGUUUAGGUUAUUCAAGUCUAUGACCUUUUGAAUUUCCUUUCCCUCACCCCACCCCCAAAUGAACACCAACAUUUCAAAAGCUCAGGCUUUUAUAGGUUUCCUGUUCAGAUGAACUUAUUAUAAAUCACCUAUACCCACUUGUCUUUCUCUAGCAGGGAAUAUAACCUGAAUUAUGCAGUGCUAUCAGUGUCUGAAGUGGUCAAGUACAUCCUUUGCUUUUCACCAUGCAAUGAAUGUACUUACUAUUUCAAGUUUUAUCGAAUAAAUCUCUUCUAAUCUGCCUUGCCAUUAAAUGAGUCUAUUCUCUUAAAAGCCUCUAGUGGUGCCAGUUAACCUUCCUACCCUCUAAGGGCUAUGGACCUUUCCCUGUCCAAGAUUCCCGACAACUCUUUGAACAGAGCUGGUACAAGAUGACAGCUCUCAAUGUGUUUGCCCCUUCCAGUGGCACACCACUGCACACUGCCUGUCUCUCAGCACCUCCUGCUUGCUGUUCCUGCAGCUGCCCUUCCCUUGGACCUACAUGUGCAGUGUGCCCGUGGCAGCUGUUUGCUUUGAUCUGCGCUGGCACAGGUUUAACACAGCAAUAUCCCAUAAGUCUAGUGCAAGAGUGGCAUUAUUACCAGGGGGCUGGAGGAGUCAGAUGAGAUAAACUAACAGAUGCUACUGGAAGCAGAACCUUUUAAUACAAAAUGCCCAUCCUUAUACAGCUGUACAGAGAAAGCUUUGCGUAAAACACUUCCACUUCCCACAUUGUUUUUUAUUCUUGCCUUGGAGCAAUUCAGAGGCAUGCAGAAGCUUUUUUUUAAAUGUUGCAUGAUGAAUAGCAUAACUUGGAUGCUUCCAGAUGAUAUGAAUUAUUUUGAAAUGCUUGCUUUACAAAAUAACAUCAAAAGAUUAUGAACCUUCUGAUCAUGCCCUGUGUUUAGUUUGCAACAGGAAAAAUAUUCUAAAUAUUUCACCACCUUUGUGUGUAUGUAAUCAACCCUAUCUGUUGGCAAUAAAAUACAUUGAAUGUAUUACAUAUGAAUGUAACUCAGAGCUUCUGCUAUGAAACAUCUCUUCUAUUCCUCUCUAUAUUACGUGUUCUAGAAAUGCAGUGUCCUUAUUUGGGGUUGGACUAGAUGUUCUUUAAAGGUCCCUUUUAACCCCAACCUUUCAAUGAUAAUUAUUACUUUAUUUCUUUUCAUAUUAGCUAAGCUGCUAAGAGUUUCUUUUUACUUUUAACAUCAUCUUUCUAUCCUGCAACAUCUUUAUCAUAAUUAGAAAGUUAUUUUGCGUUCUUCCCCUACCUAGCACCUCAUAAUAGCAUAAUCCUUCAUUUUUGUUCUGGCUAGUAAAAAUCUGCUGUUAACUAGGGCAACAUGCCUCUGACUUCUCUGCUCUAAUACAUAGAAAACCUUUCAUGUGAAAUGUAACUUUUUCUUGUCUGUAUUUAUUCUAACAAGCUUCAUUUUUUUCUUUAUGAAUUAUGACAUAUUAACACCUAUUUUCUCAUUGAAUUAGAGUUAUUACACUGCAGAGCUCCCAGUCUGAAAACUAUUAUAGAUUCUACAUCAAAUCCUACCAGUUAUUAUGGCUGUAAUACUACCACUGUGUAUUUCUUGCUGUUACCAGGUAUUUUGGGGAAAGCUCUACAAGUUUUUUUAGUGGUUGUUAAUAAAUUAAUCAAACAUAAUCUUCAAAUGAAACUUUACAUGCAGAUACCUGUGUUUUAUGUAUUAUAGCUCACUUGUGUUCUUCACUGUCUAAUCUAAAUCCAUGUUGUAUAUUGCAAAUUGUACUCACGGGGAGCUGCAGUUUAAGUUAUGCUAUCCUAUACAGCAACAAAAGACUGAAAAAGUCAGCUGAAAAACAGCUCUUCACUAAUUGCUGUACAGUUAAACUACAAAAAGCUGUAGCCCCUUAGUAAAAUUAUUUUUAAAGUGAUCAUUCUGCUAGUUUAAAAGCUCUAAUGAUCAACCACAGGCGGAUGAGUUCUUCCCAACUGGAUUCCCAGAUAAUAAGAUGCAAUUGUGUUUUCCUGACCCAGAAUUUUACUUUCUAUUUCUUUUUUCUCACUGCUAUUGGCAUAUAAUUUGGAAGGACUCCAAGAAUGUGUUGAUCUUUUAGAUUUUCUGGUUAGUCAUGUUUGCCAUUUAUUUUUAAAUGAUAAUGUAUCAUUAAUUUUUUGCUUACUUUUUUCUGGCAUGCUUCUCAACAAAUGAGGAACUGUCCAAAGAAAACAUAUGGAACAACUUUCUUCACAAAUCUGAGGUCUUAAAACACAAGAUAUUAGCAAAUAUUGUCUAAUGUUUAUUGCAGGCUAUCUCUUCACUUCAAAAUCCAAGACAAAAUGUAGAGAUUAAUAGAUAAUUUAAGGCUAUGUAUAUAUAGUAUGAGAAGUCUCUGGAAUGUCAAAUUUCAGUUCUAGUAAAAAAGAAGUGGCUGAACCUGUGACUUUUGAAACCCACUGGACGCUCUGAAGUGAGAAUGGUAUGGAAAGCCUGAGUUUAACCUCCAUUGUCAAUCAAAUUACCAAAACCAGAAGAUAUAUGGUAGCACAAACAACUUCACAGAAUCACAACUGAACCAUAAGAGGAAUUUCUCCAAUCUUUCCAGGAGUCAUGGGAUCAAGAGUGACAAGUGUAUUUUUCUAAUGAAAGUUUGCUAAACUUACUCAUAAAUUAUCACUUCCUUUCCACUGAGUAACUUUUUGCAACUACUAUUGAAUUAUUUUGCUUAUUGCCUAAACAGUCUGACUGAACAUGAUCACAUUAGCUUCACAUUUUUAACUCCUUUUUAUAGUUUUGAAAUAUUAAAUUGUUUAAAACGUUUUGAAUUACAGGAGGUACUCCACUGACUAGAUUUAUCAGGAACUAAAAGUCUAGCAUGAGAUAGCACACUUUGUUGGCUCCUGUUGACUCUGCAAUGUAAUUUGACAGGAAAGACAAGUGAAGGAUCUCCUCUGAGAUUUGUGCCACUACAUAAGGCAGCCUUGCUGAAAUGUGCAAAGGAAAAAACCAAACAAACUUACUUUAAGGCUAUUAAAUCUGUCAGAAAUUUGGUGGGUUGGCUUGAAAGUGACUAAAUUGUAACACUUUUUUUUUCAGUUUAUAUCAUCUCACUCUAUUCCUCGUCAUUUUCCUUGUCAGUUUUAAUGCAGAUGAAAAUAAAUUCAGCCAAAACAAGUGUUUUCAAUGUUCUCAGAGUGAAAUCUUGAAUCUAUGAAUAGAACUAGAGGUUAAAAGUCACCAUCAUGACUUUCUUUGUGCCUUCUGUUAAUAAUUUAAAUUCCUUAAUAUAUUUAUUCUUCAUUUAAAGAUUUCUAAAAAUAUUAAGAGACUAGAGGCCUAGGUAUUUUUCUUUACAUAGUACUACAACUUUAAAAAUAUUUAUUCAUUUAAACUAGUUUGGCUUUGGCUUGCAAUGUGCACUUUUGUAGUUAUAAGCUGAAAUUCCAAUUAAUCUCUUUUAUAUUGUCCAUAAAAUCCCUGAAAGAAAGAAAUAAAUUACUUUUAGCUUUCUUCUCAGUAAACUGAUUUUAUUGGUUCAGCCCUUCAUUUUUUUUCCUUGACUUUUCCUAUUAUUUUAGAUUGUGGUAGAGAACAGAGAUCAGGAAAAGUCAUUAAAACUAGUCAGAAAGAAAGUGAUUAUGAAAACCUGACUUAGUUGCUGGAUUUUCUUCACUAACAUGGGCUUCUAAUGAGUGUGUUUAAUAUGCUUAAAGCUGAUGCUGUCACUGCUUCCAGCAUCUUUCCACCUGCAAUCUGCUAUGCAGUCUGAAACAAAAUCAAACAGUGUAGACAAGACUUCUUGGAAUUUCUUGGAGUGUUAUCAAAAUGGAAAGAAAGCCUCUUACUAAAUUUUACGGAAACCAUAUAUUUAAAGGACCAAUGCAGUCUUCAUGGGAUCUCUUGGAUUAUUAAAAAGAACCAAAAAAACACCAAAGCAAACAACCAAAUGAAAAGCUACAACCUCUGGAGACACACAAGUGGGCAAAAGGAUUGUGUUAAUACUUUUUAGCUAGUGUAUAGCAAAGAAAUUAGAGAAGGCAGACAUCCUGAAGGAGAAUGGAGAGUUUACAUUCUCCCUUGAGGAUCUUGCAGCAGUGGAGUUGCUGUAAAAAAUUAUCUUCGUUUUAUGGAGGCCUGAUCUUUGUGGGAUGUUGCUUGGGGAAUUAAUUAAAUAUUUUAUUUCUAUUCUGCUGCUCAGAUUCCCCUUCCUUUAUUGCCAAAUAAGUUAACCUUUGCUACGGUGUUGAACCUCUCAUGAGGACAUUGCUAGGGGAAGAAUUUUAGCUGAUUUUUCUUGCCAAUUUAGUUGACAGGUAUGAGCAGACAUAGAACAUGGUAAAGGUCCAGAACCAAAUUUAAUCUACUGAUUUAACUUCAUUUGCCAGUUAAAAAAUUAAGUAUGAUUUGCCAUCUUGAAAGUUGGGACGAAUAUCUCUUGAUGAUAGAUUACUGAAUUGUUUUCCCAUUUUGACAGACAGCUAGCCUUGUUGAACUACAUGAGGUCCCUCUGGAUGCCAUCCUUUCCCUCCAGAGCAUCAAUUGCACCACUCAGUUUGGUGUCACUGGUGAAUUUGCUGAGAGUGAAGUCAGUCCCACUGUCCAUGAUGCUGACACAGAUAUUUAACACUGCUGGUCCCAGUGCCAGCCCCUGAGGAGCACCACGUGUCACUGAUCUCCACUUGGACAUUGAGCCAUUGGCCACAACUGCUUGAUUGUGACCAUCCAACCAAUUCUUUAUCUAGGGAGUGGUCUGUCCAUCACAUUCCUGUCUCUCCAGUUUAGAGACAAGGAAGUCAAUGGGAUUUCAAACAGCUCUUGUAUUUGAAAGCAUAAUGACUUUUGUCCCAGACUCUGCUUGCUUCAGAGUUGAGUUUUUCCUCAGAGUUAAAAAAAAUUAAGGUAUGGUACAAUAUGCAGUACAUGAGCUAUAACCAUCUCACAGAAUUCCUCAGGGCAAAGUUACCUACACAAUGCAGGUAAGGGGCUGGGAUUUUUUAAUUGCUAAUUCUUAGAACUUUUCAAUUUAACAGAGGGAGGGGGAAAAAACUCUGCUAGUCAACUGUAUAUGUGCCACCUGGGAAUAACUUCAAUACACAGCUAUAUUACCUUCUCCUUCAAAUUAAAAUCCAUUUUGACUUCGUUUGUACUUUUAUUUAAACUGAGACAAAAAAAAUCCCAGGCUUGUCUCUACUAAUGUGUAUUUCUUAAAAAAAAAAAAAAAUUCAAUUCUUAUCUAGGAAUAGAAAAAUAUUUGUACAUAUAACCAGCAUAAAAGUCUGAAUAGCACAAAGUUUUCCUGUCCAGAAAAUCUUAUUCUUUCUCUCUUUUUCUCUCUCUCAAGUAUGAUCUGAGAAUUUCAUUUCCAUAGAAUGUGUCUUCACCUGCAGAUUUACAGGCAAAAUUUUCAUGUCCCAUGUAUUGUUAGAGCAGAAUUUAUUUUUCUUCAAAAAAAAAAAAAUUAAAAAACCAAGAGGUAUAGUAAUAGGAGAUAACCAAGAGAUAAAUGGUACCACAGGGGGGGGAAAGCACAAAAUAGGUCUAUAGCAAUAGUUUCUGACUGUUAUCAGACUGCACUUGAACAGUCUGCUAACAAGCUGGAAAAUGAAGAAGGGGCCUGGAGGUCACAUCCAACUUCAGCUUUUUACUCUGCAGUGAAUGGUCCUGUGGGAACCCAUUGGAUCUCAAAAGACAGCUGAUGGCUCAAAGUGUCAGGUUAAAAAUGAGUACAAAUAUGAAGGCUGGACAAAAGCUCUGAGAUCCUGCAAGAGUUGUUUACAGUUGCACAGACAUGACACAGAAAAAAAAGAUAUGUCUUCAAGCCUCCAAACACAAAGGAAAUCAUAGACCACACACAACUGCAGAAAUUCAAGGUAGACACUAAUUUUACUUGUAACAAUGAUGUUUUGCUUCUAGGAGCAAUAUUUUUUAAACUAUGAAACUGCACUUUGUACAGUAACUUCUCCAGUGCAAGGCUGCAUA